UACGUAGGCAGCGAGCGUUGUUCGGAGUUACUGGGCGUAAAGGGUGUGUAGGCGGUUGUUUAAGUUUGGGGUGAAAUCUCCCGGCUCAACUGGGAGGGGGCGCCGAAUACUGAGCGACUAGAGUGCGGGAGAGGAAAGUGGAAUUCCUGGUGUAGCGGUGAAAUGCGUAGAGAUCGGGAGGAACACCAGUGGCGAAGGCGGCCCUCUGGGCCGGGCCUGACGCUGAGACGCGAAAGCGUGGGGAGCAAACAGG
rnacentral:rRNA from 1 species